rnacentral:rRNA from 1 species
GAUGAACGCUGGCGGCGUGCCUAAUACAUGCAAGUAGAACGCUGAAGGAAGGAGCUUGCUCUUUCCGGAUGAGUUGCGAACGGGUGAGUAACGCGUAGGUAACCUGCCUGGUAGCGGGGGAUAACUAUUGGAAACGAUAGCUAAUACCGCAUAACAGUAGAUGUUGCAUGAUAUCUACUUAAAAGGUGCAAUUGCACCACUACCAGAUGGACCUGCGUUGUAUUAGCUAGUUGGUGAGGUAACGGCUCACCAAGGCGACGAUACAUAGCCGACCUGAGAGGGUGAUCGGCCACACUGGGACUGAGACACGGCCCAGACUCCUACGGGAGGCAGCAGUAGGGAAUCUUCGGCAAUGGACGGAAGUCUGACCGAGCAACGCCGCGUGAGUGAAGAAGGUUUUCGGAUCGUAAAGCUCUGUUGUAAGAGAAGAACGAGUGUGAGAGUGGAAAGUUCGCACUGUGACGGUAUCUUACCAGAAAGGGACGGCUAACUACGUG